rnacentral:rRNA from 1 species
UACAGAGGCCUCAAGCGUUGUUCGGAUUCAUUGGGCGUAAAGGGUGCGUAGGCGGCGCGGUAAGUCGGGUGUGAAAUCUCGGAGCUUAACUCCGAAACUGCAUUCGAUACUGCCGUGCUUGAGGACUGGAGAGGAGACUGGAAUUUACGGUGUAGCGGUGAAAUGCGUAGAUAUCGUAAGGAAGACCAGUGGCGAAGGCGGGUCUCUGGACAGUUCCUGACGCUGAGGCACGAAGGUCAAGGGAGCAAACGGG